AUUCAGCUGACGAAUCCUAAAUAGGACGAAACGCGCGUCCUAUAU
rnacentral:hammerhead_ribozyme from 1 species